rnacentral:rRNA from 1 species
UGGGGAAUAUUGGACAAUGGGCGCAAGCCUGAUCCAGCCAUGCCGCGUGAGUGAUGAAGGCCUUAGGGUUGUAAAGCUCUUUCGCCGGUGAAGAUAAUGACGGUAACCGGAGAAGAAGCCCCGGCUAACUUCGUGCCAGCAGCCGCGGUAAUACGAAGGGGGCUAGCGUUGCUCGGAAUCACUGGGCGUAAAGCGCACGUAGGCGGAUCGUUAAGUCAGGGGUGAAAUCCUGGAGCUCAACUCCAGAACUGCCCUUGAUACUGGCGAUCUCGAGUUCGAGAGAGGUUGGUGGAACUCCGAGUGUAGAGGUGAAAUUCGUAGAUAUUCGGAAGAACACCAGUGGCGAAGGCGGCCAACUGGCUCGAUACUGACGCUGAGGUGCGAAAGCGUGGGGAGCAAACAGGGUUAGAUACCCUGGUAGUCCACGCCGUAAACGAUGGAUGCUAGCCGUUGGGGGGUUUACCUCUCAGUGGCGCAGCUAACGCCUUAAGCAUCCCGCCCUGGGGAGUACGGUCGCAAGAUUAAAACUCAAAGGAAUUGAC